rnacentral:lncRNA from 1 species
UAUUAUUAUUUGUUUGAUUUCAUGUUAUAUGAAUUUUAGACAGUCGUGAUAUCGAACUAAUGGUUUCAUAUUAUAAUUUCUAAAUGCGUGAAAAACCAUUCAAAUCUAGAUAAUAAUUAAAGAAAAAGAAGAAAAAGAAGAAAAUUAUUAAGAUAAAUCAUUUCACUAGAAUUUGAUCGAUGGUGAAAGGAAACAUUAAAAAAGAAUAUUCUAACUUCCAAUAGAAUUAGAAUCCUCACUUGUAGUGAAUAUUUAGCUAUAUAGGAGCUCGCAUCAAUGUGCACGUCAA